rnacentral:rRNA from 1 species
GGGGAAUUUUGGACAAUGGGCGAAAGCCUGAUCCAGCCAUGCCGCGUGAGUGAAGAAGGCCUUCGGGUUGUAAAGCUCUUUCGGCGGGGAAGAAAUCGCAUUCACUAAUACUGGAUGUGGAUGACGGUACCCGAACAAGAAGCACCGGCUAACUACGUGCCAGCAGCCGCGGUAAUACGUAGGGUGCGAGCGUUAAUCGGAAUUACUGGGCGUAAAGCGUGCGCAGGCGGUUUUGUAAGUCUGAUGUGAAAUCCCCGGGCUCAACCUGGGAACUGCAUUUGAGACUGCAAGGCUAGAGUACGGCAGAGGGGGGUGGAACUCCACGUGUAGCAGUGAAAUGCGUAGAGAUGUGGAGGAACACCGAUGGCGAAGGCAGCCCCCUGGGCCAAUACUGACGCUCAUGCACGAAAGCGUGGGGAGCAAAC